rnacentral:lncRNA from 1 species
GCAAAAGUAACCCCCAUGUUUAAGGAAAUAUGCUCUUUUGACCCCCCUAACAUAAGGGAAAUAUAAUCUUUUGACCCUUUAUCUUCUCAAAAAUUUGCGAUUAUGACACCUGUUUUGGGACAUGUGGCGUCUCUUCUCAUCAAUUUUGGGACGAAAGGAACCAAAAUUGUCAUCUUUUUUAAUAGGGGCCAAAAUUGCAACAUUUUGAAACUUAGUGGAUGAAAGGUGCAGUUUAGCCUUUUUAAUAACAAAUGUUGUCAUGUUAAUUGUCAUUGUGGAGUAAAAAGCUUGGGUGUUCAUAACGAAUGAUGGCUAUGAAAGCAUCUUCUCUCUACUUUUUGCGGCCCUAUUUAAUAAAUGGUACACAUAUCCACAAUGGAGCUCUCCACUUAGGUGUUUAAAUAG